rnacentral:rRNA from 1 species
UACGUAGGGUGCAAGCGUUGUCCGGAAUUAUUGGGCGUAAAGAGCUCGUAGGCGGUCUGUCGCGUCGGCUGUGAAAACCCGGGGCUCAACCCCGGGCCUGCAGUCGAUACGGGCAGACUAGAGUGCGGUAGGGGAGACUGGAAUUCCGGGUGUAGCGGUGGAAUGCGUAGAGAUCCGGAAGAACACCGGUGGCGAAGGCGGUCUGCUGGGCAGUUGCUGACACUGAUGCGCGACAGCGUGGGGAGCAAACAGG